CCCUUAGACGUUCUGGGCCGCACGCGCGCUACACUGACCAGUGCAACAAGCAUCCGUCCUUGGCCGACAGGCUCGGGCAAUCUUUGAACGCUGGUCGUGAUGGGGAUAGACUUUUGCAAUUUUUGGUCUUCAACGAGGAAUUCCUAGUAAACGCAAGUCAUCAACUUGCAUUGAUUACGUCCCUGCCCUUUGUACAUACCGCCCGUCGCACCUACCGAUUGAAUGGUCCGGUGAAGCCUCCGGAUUGGCGCGCACCUCGGUGCCGCCGAGAAGUUGGCUAAACCUUACCAUUUAGAGGAAGGUGAAGUCGUAACA
rnacentral:rRNA from 1 species